rnacentral:rRNA from 1 species
UGAGUAACGCGUAGGAACCUGUCGCAUAGUGGGGGAUAACGCUGGGAAACCGGCGCUAAUACCGCAUGAGGUCAGAGAUGAAGAAAGCGAGUAAUCGCGCUAUGUGAGGGGCCUGCGUCCGAUUAGCUAGUUGGUGGGGUAAAGGCCUACCAAGGCGACGAUCGGUAGCUGGUCUGAGAGGAUGAUCAGCCACACUGGGACUGAGACACGGCCCAG